rnacentral:misc_RNA from 1 species
AUGAAAGGUGACCUGUUUCCGGUACACAGCUGAUCAAACAUUGGGGCAGACGGUGUAGCUGAUUAUUGUUGGUUUUUGUUGCUGUUAUUGUUUUGAGAAGCAAAUUGACGAUGCCAAUACGAGAAUUCACAUACACAGGUGGUGACCUUGAGGUGACCCCUCAGAUGCUGUCGGACUUCAAUGAAGCUGGCUACAUUCUUGUCAGAGGCCUCCUAGACAGUGUGGAGUUGAAAAAGGUCCAGGAGUGCCUGGAAGGCAGUGAUGCUAUCAUGAAGCAUGCAUAUGGGAUUUCUGAUGGUGAGGAUCGUGAGAGCAAGCUGUGCAUCUGGAGCCACCCCGGGGAUGAUGUGACGGGCAUGGUGGGGCGCUGUGAGAAGGUGGUCACAACAUCAGAGAAGUUGCUUGGAGGGGAGGUGUAUCAUUACCACACCAAGCUGAUGAUGAAGGAAGCAUUUACUGGGGGCAAGCACGUGUGGCAUCAGGAUUAUGGAUACUGGUACAAAAAUGGCUGUCUGUUCCCUGACAUGUUGACCGUCUUCAUCUCCAUUGAUGCAUGUACCAAGGCUAAUGGUUGUCUCCAGAUUCUAGAGGGGUCUCAUCGCUGUGGUCGGAUCGAGCACCUGUAUGUUGGUGACCAGACUGGAGCUGACCUUGCUCGGGUCAAGGAGCUACAAGGUCAACUGGAGCAACUGUAUGUGGAGAUGAAGCCAGGUGAUGCCCUGUUCUUUCACUCUAACCUGCUGCACACCUCCAGCCCCAACACCAGCCCCGACCGCCGCUGGGCAUUCCUGUGUGCCUACAACCGUGCCAGCAACAACCCGGUGUAUGAGCAUCAUCACCCCCAGUACACCCCACUAGUCAAGGUGCCCAACAGCGCCAUCCGAGACUGUGUCAACCUGACCGACACAUCAGGGAAAGACUUUGUGGACCCAUCUAAAGACAGGACAGUGAAGAAGGGGGACGCAGCAGUCCCCAGCACGAAGCGCCAGAAGUUGUCAGCGUAGCCUCCUCCCGAUGUCCUUCAUCUGCAACAAUGGUCAGCUGGUGGUUGAUUAGAACCUUAACACAGGGUGCUGACUGUCAGCAUCACUGCUAUCAGUUAUCAGUAGACGAGGAUCAAGCUCUGGAGACCAUAUAUAAUGACCACCUGGGAUAUAUUGUUUUAAACUCAUUUUGUCUACAGCUGUUUCUUCAGACUCACCAUCCAUUUUUCCAAUUUUGCUUGAGUUUCUUCUUGUCACCUUCACACAGUUCUCUAGAUGCCAACCACUACACCAUGGCCUGUAUCAAAAUGAUAUAUAAAAUUUGAACCAAGCAUAUAGGUAAUUUUAUUUUAAAAAAAGAAUGUUCCCAGUAAACCGUGCUGGACAUCAAUUCAACAGUGGUUAAUGGAUUAUAGUUCUGAAUUACUUCAUUUUGACCACAAUUGCUUGAGGUGGAGGCCUGUAGUGUUGCUCCAGUGGUGGAGGAGGGAGGCUGGGGGUGUGGUUCACUAUGGUAACAUGCUACCCCAGCUGCUAUAGUGCACCCCGACACCACGAUGUCAUGUUGUGAAAUGUAUAAUAACCAAGAUUUGUACUCUGUAUCACUUCCAUCAAAACUUUGGGAUAUACAUGUAUUACUGUGUCCAUGGACAUAAUUCUAGCUUCAGUCAUAUUGCUACAUUCAUACACUAUCAUCCUGGAUCAACUUGAACCAUGUCAGCCUAUGCAAUAUCUCAUCCCAGUAUAUAUUUUCAGAAACAUGCCCUAAUGGUCUCUGUACAUACUUCAGUGUUUAUUUGAAAGUUUGCUUAUAGAAGAGAUUAUGUGUUUUGGUUCUGGACAAACAACCAUGCUGAUAUUGUAACAACUAAAGACCUCGUUGAUCAUGAAGACAGAUGACUAUGUAUUCAUAAUGUGUAAUGACAGCUGACGUUUGUUUGAUUGACUAUGACACCUUAGUAUUGUGGAUCAACAUUGCCCUGAAGUCAACCGUGGCAACCCAGAAGGUGUGGUCAUCAUUGCCCUGAAGUCAACCGUGGCAACCCAGAAGGUGUGGUCAACAUUGCCCUGAAGUCAAAACAGGCAUUUAGCAUAGUUGUCUUAUUCAAACUAACGUGGACCUGAUUGACCUGAACAAAAUCUUAAAUACCUCUAUUUGCACAACUGUCUUGAAAGGCCAUGUGAACAUAAGUUGUUCCAAAUCAUCCAUCUUUGUCCAAAUGUUUUACAAGUUAAUGGUGCAGAUGAACAUAUAAGUUCCCAUUAGUUUUACAUGUUCUAUACUUUGACCUUUAUACUUUGACAGUACUAAAAAUGGACAUAUUUUGCUGCCACUAGUCAAUCUUUCUGUGUCAAUUUGAAAUGAAAUUUGGUAUUUGGUAUGCAUGUAAUUUGAUGUGAAUUUCACAUUGCUAAAUUUAAUAUUUUGAAUUGGUCGUACUUUUGAAUUUCCUAAAACUUCACACUGGCUCUGUAAACUUCUUCCCUCUUGAAUGGCUAACAGGUGAAGAAGCUGUGCUUUGCUAUAUAUGUUUUUCCUUCCGAGGACAUCAUAAGUGGUUCAAAUUAUGUCUUUUAUAAGUUUUUAAUCAUCAGCACCAGUAUUUAUGCUGAAAACACUUUUGAAUUGCAAUGCUGUUAGCAACUUUGUUGACGUUUUAAAGUGGAGACUAAAUAUGAGCUACAGUGAGUAAAACUAUGCCCUUAGAGAAAUGCAGAUGAAAUCUUCAGUGUCUCCACGCAUCUUUCACCUACAAUUCUCCUGAAAGUCACUCUCACCAGCUGUUAUCUGUUGUCAGGACAAUAGAAUCACAACAUUUCACAUUGUGCCCUUAGAUUUCCUGAAUGUUCAGAAAGUUCCAAAUACAUUCAACUGUUAUAUGGGAUGUUUUUAUAUGUUAUAUUUCUAUAUGUUAUAGAUGUUACUAGUUUCACCUUUUUCAUUCUCUUCAUUUUUAUCAGACAUAUUCACAUGGUAGAAUAGAAUUUUGAUAACCACACUUAUAAAUAAUCAAGGGAGGAGAAAAAGUCUAUUGUGUGGACUGAAGUAAAGUUGAACCUUGCUAGCCUGGACUGUACAGAAUUCAGGAAAUGAGCCAAACUAACAAAUGUCCGCAUUAAGGAAUCAGGGUUAUAGAAUUUCUUCUGAUAUUCAGAGAGGGUUUCAAGGUUCCACUGUUUAUUUGGAAGUCACAGCUUGAACUUUGUAUAAGUAUGUGGACAGACUUGUGAACAGUGACUGAUCUGCUUCUAUCAUUGUUUAGUGCAGUGUCAGUUCACAUGAGUAGUUUAGUGUUAUCUAUUUUUAUUGGUUUUACGCAGGGUUUCAUUUGUAUUAAUGCAUUUUUUGUCAAUUAACUUUCUAAAGUGGCACUUGCCAUGUCUUGUUGUCUACUGGGAUAUGUGUGGAGCACCUUGCAGGGUGUCAAAUGACGUAUUUCACUUACACUAGGGGGCACGGAAGUUAAUCUGGGUAUAUUUUAGCUCAACAGCCCGUAUGUCUUUCAGUAUGAGUUGAGUUUAAUACCCAUUUCUGGACUUAUGUGAUGUCACAUUGUUAAUCCUGAAAUGAAAAACUGGAAACUUUGUAAUGGAUUAUGACCAAUAAAUAUGUUUAUUUUCAAAGUU